GCCAGUGUGGUGUAGUGGUUUAAGCACAGGACUAGGACUCUGGAGAGUGGGGUUUGAUUCCCCGCUCAGUCA